rnacentral:rRNA from 1 species
UGUAAGCGUAUACCAAAGUUGUUGCAGUUAAAACGCUCGUAGUCGGAAGUUGGCAGUUCCGGAUGUGUGCACGUCGUGUGCGCACUUCGCGGGGAUUGCUUUUGUGGUCUUGCGUAGGAUGAGGCACUUUUAUUAGUGAACGUCCUCACGCAACCACUUUUUACUGUGAGAAAAUCAGAGUGCUCAAAGCAGGCAUUUGCCGUGAAUGUAUUAGCAUGGAAUAAUAGAAUAGGACUUGGUUCUAUUUUGUUGGUUUGUUGGGACUGAGUAAUGAUUAAGAGGGACAGUUGGGGGCAUUUGUAUUUCGGUGCUAGAGGUGAAAUUCUUAGAUUACCGAAAGACAAACUGCUGCGAAAGCGUCUGCCAAGGAUGUUUUCAUUGA